UGGUGCCUCCGCAACAUGAAACCGUGAACCCGGUCAGGCCCGGAAGGGAGCAGCCGCAGCGGUGGAAUUGUGUGCCGGGGUGUCGCUG
rnacentral:SRP_RNA from 2 species